AUGUUGGGCCAAUGACCUUGUUAAUCUGACAUGAAUACGACCUCCACAAUGAAAUUUUUGGUCAAGUUUUAUAAAUCAACAUUAUGAUAAAAUUAUUGUGCGGGCUUAUUGAAGGUUUUAUUAGAUUUCAAAAUUUCUUUUUUUUAAGUCGUAGGGUUUCACUCUAGUUCAGCCCGCCUUAUUCUGUUGCAUAAAACGCGUUGGGUCAACCACCUACUUGGUACACUAGACGGGCCGGUACGGUUAGGACUAGAUUGCAGCAUCCUUGUACUGGCUCGGAUAUGCAACUUCUAAACUUGUGUAACGUUUAAAGGAUGCCUUUUUUGAAUUUUUUAAAUUUUGAAAUUUAACAUGAACUUGAAUAAAUAUAAGCCGUGCGCCAUUAUAUAUUUUUUGUAAGCUGUGAUGUAUGUAUAGGUAUAGAAAAUUCUUAGGAAAAAAUUCUAAUCAUUUUAUGAAAAUCACAAAAUAAGAUUAGUAGACAAAAGUAUAGAUCUAUUCAAUAAAGAUUAAAUCUUUCAA